UCACCCCGGCUCAGGACCGGUUGUUCCACUGAGCUUUCUGUGAUGUCAUCGGAUGUGGGCGGAGCCAAGAUGAGCGAAGCAAGAUGAUGAUGAUGAGGAGGAUGAAGGUCUCCACUGACCUUCUUGUCGUCUCUUUGAUGAGGUGAGGGUUUGGUUUCCAUGGCAACGCAAAGGAAGAGGAGAGGAAUGAACUCCUCCUGCUGGUCGGAGGACAGAGGUGACGUUUGUAGAUGGGCCUUUAACAGCAGGAGAAGGACAGAAUGAGGAGGUCACAUGAUCAUCAUGAAACAGGGAACAUGGCUCUGAACGCACUGGGUUCAUCCAUCAAUCAAACCCAAAACAGACGGACUUACUGAC